AUUAGGAGAAACCUAAGGUUACAAAAUACCGCUAAAAAAGUCGAGCUUUUCGAAACACCAUCACUAUUCACAUUAUUUUUUCCAAAGUACCACGGCGCGCCGUGAGAUGUCAAUCUGUCCCGUCAGUCAAACCGUCUAAAAAAAAGGAAAAGGAAAUCUUCUGCCCUCUGACCCGACCUCGUCUCCUCCCCAACCUCCUAUCCAUGGCGGCCGCGCCCCUCCUUCGCUCCUGCGCCACAUCGCCGCCGGCCGCGUCCGCGGCUCCCCCUACUCGCGCCGCUCUCCCCCGCUGCUGCACACCGCCCCCGCCGCUGCUGACCUCGCCGACAGGCUCCACCAUGCACGAGGCCGCCCAUCGUUUUCCUUCGGCGACCCGCAGCAGCCCUGCAGGAAGCGGGGGAAGGUUUUGGCCUUUUGUGGGCGGAGAAGAGGUCAAUCGCGCAUUCACGCGUCCGGCGAGCAGAGGUCAGGAGGCGACGAGGAGGAGGACGCGCGGUGUUGUCGGUGGCACCGCCGUUGCCGCACCUCGUCUUCGCCUACUACAUCACCGGCCACGGCUUUGGCCACGCCACCCGCGCCCUCGACGUCCGGACCUCAUCUCCUCUCCUCCGCUCUUCGUCAUCAGACGUCUCUAUUAUCUUCGCGUGGUAUCUGAAGCCCCUUCCUGCCUGGGUUUUGACAGUUUGAUUAACGGGCUAGAUUGACAUCUCAUGACGGUGGUACUUUGAAACCAAAAAAUGAAUAGUGAUGGAUGGCAGGGGGCAUGGGCGAUCUUGGCUAGUCGGCAACCGCGGCCAAUCCAUACAUGAAGAUGAAACCGAGUAAAGUACUCGGCAAUCUGUCAGCGAAGCACCGGACUCGGUUCGGAGUCGGAGCACGUGGAACGGGGACACGUCCUGCGCCGGCGCCGACACGGCAUGCAGCGUUUCGCACCUCCUGUUGCCGGCCAAUACGUGCCGCCGGAGCGCCGCGCCCGCGCGGAACCUUUUCGGGGGAUUCGACGGCGAUAGCAGGACAGGAGCGACCGAGCAACAGCAGUGUUUGUUUUGUUGUUUUGACGAAUAUGUUGGGUUGCUCUGAUCUCUGUUGUGCUUGCCUCCAGAAUCGAACUCGCUUUGCACCUAGCGACCUCCCGUGUGUUCUCACGCCUCUUCCUCCUCUUCUGCUGCUGCCCAUUCUCAGUCCUAGGUGCCAUGCCAUGGACGAUUGGCCUCCUGGGACCUCAAGUUGAUCGGCGCCACUAAGCUUUGAGCUGGGAUUAUGGGGAAUGGAUGCAGUGUCUACUGUCUCCGGAUCAGGCUUCGGCAUGGCUCUUUGUUGUAUCGGUGCCGAUUUGUAAAAAUAAACAACAAUUAUUACAAAUCCAUGAAGAUAUUUGCAAAGCUCUGUAGUGUCAGUUCACAACAUUAAUUGGCACAACAUAGCUCGGCCUCGGUCACUGGCAUAAAUGCCUGAAUCCGCGAAAGCGGUGUCUGAAAUGUUGGUGGAGAGGUUACGUAAAUCAGGAUUUUUACGUUGCUUAGGUUAACGGGUUCAAUGUAUUUCAGAUGUGUAUUGCGUCUAUUGCGUACACUAUGGUGUUAUGUUGCAAUUGUUCCUGAGUGUGUUGCACGGUGUUACUUUCAA